rfam:Candidatus Thrbacteria bacterium RIFCSPHIGHO2_01_FTLL_63_20 rifcsphigho2_01_scaffold_8404, whole genome shotgun sequence.
AUAACUGAGAGUUUGAUCCUGGCUCAGGAUGAACGCUGGCGGCGUGUCUAAGGCAUGCAAGUCGAACGGAUCAUACGAGAUUACAUCAAGGAUGAUGAGUGGCAGACGGGAGCGUAACGCAUUGGUAACCUACCCUGGAGCCGUGAAUAAUCCGCCGAAAGGCAGACUAAUACACGAUAUGGAUGCGGGGACACAUGUCAUUCGCAUUGAAAGCUCCGGCACUCCGGGAGGGGCCUAUGUUCUAUCAGCUCGUUGGCGAGGUAACGGCUCACCAAGGCUAUGACGGAUACCGGGCGUAAGAGCGUGACCCGGCUCACUGGGACUGAGACACUGCCCAGACACCUACGGGUGGCUGCAGUCAAGAAUCUUCCUCAAUGGACGAAAGUCUGAAGGAGCGACGCCGCGUGCGGGAUGAAGGCCUUCGGGUCGUAAACCGCUUUUAUAGGGGACGAACAAAUGACGGUACCCUAAGAAUAAGAGGUUGCUAACUCUGUGCCAGCAGCAGCGGUAAUACAGAGACCUCGAGCGUUAUCCGGAUUUAUUGGGCGUAAAGGGUCCGCAGGCGGCCGUGUGCGUCAUAUGUCAAAUCCCUGGGCUCAACCCAGGAUCGGCGUGUGAUACGGCACGGCUAGAGGCCGGGAGAGGUGCAUGGAAUUACUGGUGUAGCGGUAAAAUGCGUUAAUAUCAGUAAGAACACCAAAGGCGAAGGCAAUGCACUGGAACGGUCCUGACGCUCAGGGACGAAAGCGUGG